ensembl:lncRNA
GGGGUGGCCAGUCCUCUUCUGGCUGUGCCGGGUGGAGAUUAUAACAGAACAUGGCCAAGAUGUUCAAAUGUUCAUAAAUGAUCAGCAUGUUCGAAUAAUGAGAAGGCAGAACAGUUGAAACUGGAACAGCAGCACGGCCAGGUGGACUGGGGACAGCAAGGAGUCAUCAUGUCAGGUAAUCCUGGGGCAUGGUCCUAGGGCUCAGGUCCUCCUCCGAGAGAGAGAAGGAGAUAAUUAGAGAACGCACACUUAGAUUCACACAGGACACCGAAUAGGACAGGAGAAGUACUCCAGAUAUAACAAACUGACCCUAGCCCCCCGACACAUAAACUACUGCAGCAUAAAUACUGGAGGCUGAGACAGGAGGGGUCAGGAGACACUGUGGACCCAUCCGAGGACACCCCCGGACAGGGACAAACAGGAAGGAUACCUGGGUGUAAUGUAAUCAUGUAAUUAUGGUGUUGAAACAAGGUGUGUGGGAAGACAAGACAAAACAAAUGGAAAAUGAAAGGUGGAUCGACAAUGGCUAGAAGGCCGGCGACGCCGACCACCGAAUGCCUCCCGAACAAGGAGAGGGACCGACUUCGGCAGAAGUCGUGAGAGUACCCCCCCGCGCGCGCGCCGACACCGGCCUCGGGGACUACUGUAAUGGUCGUCGUCUGAUGAAUGAUCGGACCAAACAGAGAUAGCGUGGCCUACGUACAAUAUUUAGACAAACCGAGGCUUCUUCCUUAGCUUGGAGACUUCAUACCCAGGGUCAUGCCUGUGAACCUAUCCACUCUGACUGUUUGCCUGCUAGGCACAGCCAUUCUCUGUGCAGACAUUUAUCCUGCAUCUUCAAACAAUACAUCUACCCCAACAGCACCAUCUGUAAGCCCAGAGGAUACUCCUGCCACCGUCGCAGCUUCCACCACUGGUACUAACACCUCUGCUCCAGGGACUGACCCCACAUCUAACCCCACAGAGGCCAAGAGCACCAUGGUCUCCACAUCCGACCAGGCAAAUGAAGAAGCCACAGAGACAAUAUUGUCAACUGGCGAGAUAGCCGGCAUUGCUGUCGGAAGCAUUGCUGGAGUGGCGGCUAUUGGUGGAGGGAUCUUUGCUGGUCUGAAGUUUAGUGGUAAGCUGGCAGGUUAGUGUUGCUAGACUGGACUGGACAGUGCUGGGUAAAGAUAAGCUGAGUGGGUUGGUAAGGGGAGAUUCGAUUGGCCUGAGACCAGUCCAAGACUCUACAUACUGCACAACCACUGUGGGAAAAAACAGAGCCCUCUCACCUUCCUCUAUCUGAAACCACUGCCAACCAACACAUUGAGACCUUAAUUUACAACUAUACAGGAAUACAGAUUGCAUUACUAUGAGCCACAAUCUGGAAUUGUAUACUGUGGUCAGUCGAGAUAAUAUACUACUUCUACUGCUAUAUAAGCAUAUGCAUACUGUAUAUCACAUGUUAUCCAUGGCCACAAUGUAGCAUUCAGCUGUUGAUGCAUAUGCUUUUCCUAUCUAGUGAGAGCAUACAGUAUAUGGGGAAAAAGGAGAACAGUGACUGAAAAAGACAAAUGAUAAUACGAAAUAACAUGAUAGCUACAGUAUAUAUUUAAUAUAUGGUAGCAAAUAUAUUUUAAUAUUAUGGUUCACCGCACAUCUUGUGGUGACAGCUUAACCGUGCUUUGAACCUUCUGCUAAGUGUAUUUUUAAACAUUUUAAGAUGAUCAAUGAUUUUUGUUGAUUGAUUUAAUUAUUUUAUUUUUUGUCAUUAAACAUUUUAAGAUGAGAAUGAAUGAUCACAUGGGAUUUUGAAUGUUAUUUCCUCAAAAAUUAUUAUGCACACACUUUAUUUCACAACAAAAUACCAUGAUAAUUAUGGUAUUAUGGUCACAAUGUAAACACCUCAUUUUGUAAUAAAGACCAAGAGUAGUUGUGUGACUUUGUUGUGUUUUAUUUGUGGCAGCCAUCUUGUGAAGGUGCCAUUUGAGGGAUGUGUACCCUCUCCCCUCCCAGCUCUGAUGGUGUGCUCUCUGUCUGCAUGCUUUCAUUAUGUCUCAGCACU